rnacentral:rRNA from 1 species
UAGGGAAUCUUCCACAAUGGACGCAAGUCUGAUGGAGCAACGCCGCGUGAGUGAAGAAGGUUUUCGGAUCGUAAAGCUCUGUUGUUGGUGAAGAAGGAUAGAGGCAGUAACUGGUCUUUAUUUGACGGUAAUCAACCAGAAAGUCACGGCUAACUACGUGCCAGCAGCCGCGGUAAUACGUAGGUGGCAAGCGUUGUCCGGAUUUAUUGGGCGUAAAGCGAGCGCAGGCGGAAUGAUAAGUCUGAUGUGAAAGCCCACGGCUCAACCGUGGAACUGCAUCGGAAACUGUCAUUCUUGAGUGCAGAAGAGGAGAGUGGAACUCCAUGUGUAGCGGUGGAAUGCGUAGAUAUAUGGAAGAACACCAGUGGCGAAAGGCGGCUCUCUGGUCUGCAACUGACGCUGAGGCUCGAAAGCAUGGGUAGCGAACAGGAUUAGAUACCCUGGUAGUCCAUGCCGUAAACGAUGAGCGCUAGGU